rnacentral:rRNA from 1 species
GACGAACGCUGGCGGCGUGCUUAACACAUGCAAGUCGAGCGGUAAGGCCCUUUCGGGGGUACACGAGCGGCGAACGGGUGAGUAACACGUGGGUGACCUGCCCUCAGCUCUGGGAUAAGCCUGGGAAACUGGGUCUAAUACUGGAUAUGACUCCACGGUGCAUGUCGUGGGGUGGAAAGCCUUGUGCGGCUGAGGAUGGGCCCGCGGCCUAUCAGCUUGUUGGUGGGGUGANGGCCUACCAAGGCGACGACGGGUAGCCGGCCUGAGAGGGCGACCGGCCACACUGGGACUGAGACACGGCCCAGACUCCUACGGGAGGCAGCAGUGGGGAAUCUUGCGCAAUGGGCGAAAGCCUGACGCAGCGACGCCGCGUGAGGGAUGACGGCCUGU